CCAUUUUAGUACCAAAACUUUAUUUAUUUUAAUCAAAUUAUUAAUAAGUUUCAAAUAAUUUUUUUUAAAUCAUAUUAAUAUUUUUGAUUAAAAUAUUUUUGAUAAUUUCACUUCAACUUAUUAAUAUUUUUGAUUAAAAUAAAUUAAAUUUGGAUAUUAAAAUGGAUGCAAUUUUAAAAGUUUGUGUAUUAAAAUGGGUAAAAUAAUUAGUUGAAUUAUUAAAGUGGACAGCAAAAAAGUUUAACAAAAUUUAGUUGGAGUAUUUUUAUUAAAUUUUCCCUAUAAUUUAAUAUUCUCUUAAAAAAUAGUCACAAAUAUUUAAUCCAAUAAUACGAGAAUUUAAAAGAAUUGAUGAAUAAAACAACGGUAUAACAUUAGAAUUUAAAGGAAACUUAAACUUCUUCAGAUUCAGUCCAACUCAACUUCUAGAUUCAAUGGCCCUC
rnacentral:lncRNA from 1 species